UACGGGGGGGGCAAGCGUUGUUCGGAAUUACUGGGCGUAAAGGGCUCGUAGGCGGCCAACUAAGUCCGACGUGAAAUCCCCAGGCUUAACCUGGGAACGGCGUCGGAUACUGGAUGGCUUGAAUUCGGGAGAGGGAUGCAGAAUUCCAGGUGUAGCGGUGAAAUGCGUAGAUAUCUGGAGGAAUACCGGUGGCGAAGGCGGCAUCCUGGACCGACAUUGACGCUGAUGAGCGAAAGCUAGGGGAGCAAACGGG
rnacentral:rRNA from 1 species